rnacentral:rRNA from 1 species
GGAUGAGGGGUGCUUGCACUCUGAUUUAGCGGCGGACGGGUGAGUAAUGCCUAGGAAUCUGCCUGGUAGUGGGGGAUAACGUUCCGAAAGGAACGCUAAUACCGCAUACGUCCUACGGGAGAAAGCGGGGGAUCUUCGGACCUCGCGCUAUCAGAUGAGCCUAGGUCGGAUUAGCUAGUUGGUGAGGUAAUGGCUCACCAAGGCGACGAUCCGUAACUGGUCUGAGAGGAUGAUCAGUCACACUGGAACUGAGACACGGUCCAGACUCCUACGGGAGGCAGCAGUGGGGAAUAUUGGACAAUGGGCGAAAGCCUGAUCCAGCCAUGCCGCGUGUGUGAAGAAGGUCUUCGGAUUGUAAAGCACUUUAAGUUGGGAGGAAGGGUAUUCACCUAAUACGUGAGUAUUUUGACGUUACCGACAGAAUAAGCACCGGCUAACUUCGUGCCAGCAGCCGCGGUAAUACGAAGGGUGCAAGCGUUAAUCGGAAUUACUGGGCGUAAAGCGCGCGUAGGUGGUUCGUUAAGUUGGAUGUGAAAGCCCCGGGCUCAACCUGGGAACUGCAUCCAAAACUGGCGAGCUAGAGUACGGUAGAGGGUGGUGGAAUUUCCUGUGUAGCGGUGAAAUGCGUAGAUAUAGGAAGGAACACCAGUGGCGAAGGCGACCACCUGGACUGAUACUGACACUGAGGUGC